rnacentral:rRNA from 1 species
GAUGAACGCUGGCGGCGUGCCUAAUACAUGCAAGUCGAGCGAACAGAUGAGGAGCUUGCUCCUCUGACGUUAGCGGCGGACGGGUGAGUAACACGUGGAUAACCUACCUAUAAGACUGGGAUAACUUCGGGAAACCGGAGCUAAUACCGGAUAAUAUAUUGAACCGCAUGGUUCAAUAGUGAAAGACGGUUUUGCUGUCACUUAUAGAUGGAUCCGCGCCGCAUUAGCUAGUUGGUAAGGUAACGGCUUACCAAGGCAACGAUGCGUAGCCGACCUGAGAGGGUGAUCGGCCAAACUGGAACUGAGACACGGUCCAGACUCCAACGGGAGGCAGCAGUAGGGAAUCUUCCGCAAUGGGCGAAAGCCUGACGGAGCAACGCCGCGUGAGUGAUGAAGGUCUUCGGAUCGUAAAACUCUGUUAUUAGGGAAGAACAAAUGUGUAAGUAACUAUGCACGUCUUGACGGUACCUAAUCAGAAAGCCACGGCUAACUACGUG